rnacentral:lncRNA from 1 species
GAAAAAUGAAGGAGAACUUGGGUGAGAUCAUUGAUUCAGGGAGAGCUGAGCCACACUCUGUCUCUACCCUGGAGAAGCACACCUGCCUGCCUGGCACCUCUGGGAAGCCUCACUGCAGCCAGUCUGCUCACCUUUCCUUCAGCCAGAGGAGAGGAGAUGUCCAUUUUCCCAAAGUGGCCAGUGCUCUGGGGUUGACCAUUCCCUCUCUGCUGUGUUUCUCAUUCUGCUGUGUAGUGGCAAAGGCAGAAAGGAAAGGUAUUUAAAAGAGCACCAGAGUCUCUCCUAGGUGAUGCUGAAUCCAAGAGGGAGAGGUUAAACUGGGAAGGGAAUAAAGAAAAGGAAAUUCAGGGAGAAGAGGGGUGAACUCCAGGUCAGUGGGCGGCUCUCCACCUCACUCGCAUCAAGCCUGGGCAAGGGGUGUGGUGGGUCUCAAACUCCCUCCCGAAUCGAACUGUUCCCUCUGGUGAGGACAGUGCUGCCCAUCUGUGUGGAGCGGCUGAGCUCACUUGGAGGAGGAGGUAAGGAGCAGAGCCCAGUGUCUGAAUGAGAUUCCUGUCCACAGGAAAUGAGCAAGCACCUGUCCACAGAGGGGGCAGGCCAGGGAAGUGGCUCCACAGUCCCACCUGGAGACAAUGCAGUGUCAGGCCAGGAGCGUCCGACUUCCAAGUGGCCCCGUGGGUCCGCGUGUGUGUGUGGACAGGGCCAGCGGCUGUUUUCCGCUGAGACCAGCCUUAGCCAAUUAUGUAAGUGCCCAGAAAUGACAUCCAUUUAGUAUCUUGCUCUGUGGAGGAAAAAGCUCCCCACUAAUAACAACACCAA